ACACUUGGUUACCGGAUCGAUAUUUAGCUGUGUUUAUAUCACCUGUCACAGAUUCCUACGCCAUGCAUCGCCCCGAGUACGGAACAAGCGCCGGGACCAGGCUGUUUGACCGGGGCCCCUAUAACUCCACCCCCGUGGACAACUACCCGAGCGGGGACGGUAAAUCCAUGAUUUGGCGGGGACCCUCCCACUAUGUGCCGUCAGAGAGGCGGUGGACGGACUACCACCAAUACCGGUCACUGCCCCGGGAUACGAGGAGGGACGCCAAGGAGAUGCAGAGUGAGGACCAGUGGGUAGACUUCAUGAGACAGAGGGACACGCCCUCAGGCUACUAUCACAAAGACAUAGGCUUGCUACAGACGGGUGUACCGGAGUGCCGAUUGUUCGGAUACACACGUGACCUCCCGAGCAUGCCCCCUAGGGCCUACAGGACCUAUCAUGGCCGAAAUCAGACGCAUUCGUCCCAUUAGAGCGAUCAGACCGCGGGAAAUACUACGGCUAUUAUCACGAGGCCAUUGCGCGAGAGAGACAGCAGAGGAAGAAAGAGCUUCCCGAAAGUAUGAGGGUAGAAGCCCGAGACAUUCCGAUGUUAUAAAGGACUUAAAAUGGAUGCAAGGAUAGAGCGCCCUGUGCCUCGAAUACAUGGAGCAAUUAAAUACCCAAAAGUAUAUUUGAAAGCAUAAUUAAACAGGAAAGGGACAAUUGUUAUCAUAAAAUAUCUAUGUUUGUUGUGUUUGCUGAAUUUUUCUAUAUUAUUAUUAUUAUGUACAUCUGUUGAGUAUUAUCAAUGUGUGAUUUAUUGUGCACUAUUAUUAUAAAUAAACUUAAAUGACUACAU
rnacentral:misc_RNA from 1 species